rnacentral:rRNA from 1 species
AGUGAACGCUGGCGGCGUGCCUAACACAUGCAAGUCGAACGAUGAUGGAGGAGCUUGCUCUUCCUGAUUAGUGGCGCACGGGUGAGUAACGCGUAGGUAAUGUGCCCCUUAGUCUGGGAUAGCCACUGGAAACGGUGAUUAAUACUAGAUACUCCUUCUCAUUAUAAGAUGAGUCGGGAAAGUUUUUCGCUAAGGGAUCAGCCUAUGUCCUAUCAGCUAGUUGGUGAGGUAACGGCUCACCAAGGCAAUGACGGGUAUCUGGUUUGAGAGGAUGAUCAGACACACUGGAACUGAGACACGGUCCAGACUCCUACGGGAGGCAGCAGUGAGGAAUAUUGCACAAUGGAGGAAACUCUGAUGCAGCAACGCCGCGUGGAGGAUGACGCAUUUCGGUGUGUAAACUCCUUUUAAGAGGGAAGAUUAUGACGGUACCUCUUGAAUAAGCACCGGCUAACUCCGUG